UUAGGUAACCACGAGGAAUAUUUGUGGACAAGUUUAGGGGCUAUCUAUGACUUUUGCCUAUAUUAUAUAUAAGGGAUAAAAAUAUUCCUUUAGCUAAGGGACCAUUUAAGUCUUUUCCUCUAUCUUUUCUUCAGUUUCUACAUUCUUAUUUCUCUCUCUAUGGCCCCUUGUCUCCGCUUUCUCCUCUUUCUCGAUUUCAUUUCUAUAAUUUACUUUUCUUAGUCUCAAAUUUCAUGACCUUCUUCCUCUGGCGUUCAUCUUAGCCUUUUGUGUUGAUGUUGUUGGAUUCCUUGAAAUUUUAUGAAAGUUUCAGUCUAAAGCUUAUCCCUUUCAAGGUCUGAGCAGUAUAACAAUGGAAGAUAUCAAUGGAGUUUGUCACGACCCGACUAGGGGCCAUGACGGGUACCCAGAGCUAACCACCGAGCACUACUCAUUCUAUUACUCAUCAUACUCCUCCGGCGUUCAUUCAUUAUUUUCAUGCUUAUAAUCAUAGGAAAACCAUUUUCACUUUGACACAUAUUUACCUUUAUAUACAUAAGCCCUUCGGCUAUCAACAUAA